rnacentral:lncRNA from 1 species
CGUCGAACCAACGUCUCGCGUCGAACUGCGCAUGUGCAGGCCGCCAAAAAUCAACGGCACGCCUUCGAUUAUAAAGCCGUUUUUCUUUGUUGUCGAAAAUCAAAACGUGUUAGUUUGUAAUUCUCACGAAUCUUGGAGCGAUACCAAAUUCAACUACUUUAAGACAUUGGCUCGAAUUUUGUUUGUGCCUUCAGGUUUCGAGGAAAGGAACAAACUAAGAAAUAAUUGUUAACUUCUCAAACCAAAGGCCCGGAAACUCUGUGCGUAAAUGUUACAUUCUGGCGCAUACCGCUUUUUACUAGCUAGCUGACGGAUGUUUUCAGACAUAUUUUUCAAAAGAUAUGGGAAGUCUUUUUUUUGUCUUGAAUUUCAUUCAAACGUAAUGGAGGCCAAGGGAUUUGCAGUAGUUCACCACCAGUAAAGGUACAGCGUUAACUAGCCUUUCAGGUUAGUACAACUAACUAGUUAGCGCAGCUGCAAACCGUAGUAGCCUAACCUAGCUUGUUAGCUAGCGAAAGAACAUGUGACUAGGUAGAUAGCAAAUGUUCGCUGGAUCUCCAAAUACGAUCUAGGCGUUUGCAGCCACUUAGCUAACUUAUAUUGGGCAAAUGAUAAUAGCUAGUUAUCAAGUUAGCUUGCUCACAUCAGUUUUAUGGUCCAUGUUUUAAUUGAUGCAAAAUGGACGUUAAGCAAGAGGAAAAUGAGCGGGAGCUAUCCCAAACAAUAAUUUGGUCUGAUUCGAUUAAUGCCUGGAUAGAUUACCCAAGUUCUCUAUUGUCAAAAAACACAGAAACAGGUUCCCAUGUGGGUUUACUGAAAGAGCGUACAUGUGUACCUACCGUAAGUCCCCAAACAACAAGUCGAGGGCAGAUUUUACGUAUUUUUCCUGAAAUGACCGGAGCAAGUGAUGGGGAGAACAGGGGUGUCAAAAUUGUUUAUUUCUGCAAAGACCAAGAUACCAUCAGCACAUCUGAAAGGCAUUCGAUCAAAGAGGAGUCAGGACAUGUAUCAACCCUCAGUGAUUCUUUUGAAGCUCAAAUCAACCCAAAGUCACAGGGUUUUAGCCGAAAACAGACCCGGACCAAUAAUGAAUUGCCUGUAGACAAUGUUAAUAUCCAAGGCCAUAGUACUGCCAUUACUUCUGUGCUGACCUCACCUGCUAUAGAAAGUGGCUAUAAUUUAUCUGUAUCUAAUAUUAUUCCAGAAUAUUGUGAGCCAUUGAACUUUCCCUCAGAUGAAGAAGAAGACUACAAUACCAAUUUAAGACGAAGAUUGCAAUGCCAAAAAACGGUUGAGGAUAAAUAUCUAUGGCAGUGCCGUGGCUGUUACUCAAAACCUAACCCCAAAAGAUUUGGGAAAUAUUUGAAAGAUCCAUAUGCUAAGUGCAAGGAAAUAGGAAUAGAUUUCCAUGUUAGAUCUGGAGCGAGACAGAAACUUGAUUUGCAUUUACUGACAAUUGGUGUAAUGAUCGAAGUGUCUGAAUAUGUUAAAAACAUUAAUAGAUCUAACAAGCAUGUUAUCUUUGAUAUUCUAGAUUACAACUUUGAUCUUGGUGUGCAAAAUGAAGUACGAGGUUACUUUUCAAACAAGAUAGAAAGAAAAUUAAAUGACAUGCUGAAGAUGUAUACCAAGAGGAGAAAUCCUGAGUGGUUAAAAGAAGUGUUUGAACUUCCUGAUUCAAAGACAAUGAACGCAUGGGGAAAAUCUCGGUUUGCACGGUCCAAUUUGAAUAACAGCGUGUCAGAAAAUCCUACACCUUUUGACAUCUGCAUAAAGGAGAAGCCUGUUGUGGACCUGAUAGCUCCUCUGCAUGUGACGACUGAGAACCUCUCUACUCAGACAGAUGUAACACGAUGUGCUGAGACAGCAAUCCUUGACCCUGAAAAUGGACCUAAUGAUAUCUGCACAAGGGAUAAGUCAGAUCUGGGCGUCAUCCAUCAUGUCAAGACGGAGACUGUCAGCACUCAGACAGACAUGACAAUGGACCAAUCCUUCAUGAUGCCCACAGUAGAAGAAGCAUUGAGUGAACUCUACCCAAUCUGUAAGGAAAAAGGACUUGACCUUGAUGUGAAAUCAACAUUUGGGAAAAAGGAGAAACUUGACUUGCGUCUAUUGACCAGAGAGGUAAUGAUUGAAUUGGCUGAUUUUACCUCACAAAUGUGUGGAAAUUGGAAGCAGAUGGUCUGUGAUGUUGUUGAGCAUAAUUUUGAUCUGGAUUUAAAAAGUGGGAAAACUGACCUGGCUGAAGAUAUCAUUAAUAGGUUAAGAGCAGCUUUGCAGCCCAAUGUAAAUUUAAAAUUACAUGAUCACCGACUGAGAUGUGAAUUAGAAAAGGAAUACUUUUUCUUGAAGAAUUCGUGCAAACUCAAGAAUGAUACAGAGAUGUCCAGUAACCAGGUAACUACAGCAUCAUUUGAGCCGAAUGAUCAAAUGAAAGAAGUGUCGAAAAGGAGGAGAUUGGAUUUAAUGAAAAAGGAAAAAGAAAUGGACACGUGCGUAGCCAGGGAGACGGAGGGAGUCCGUUUCGAAGUCAGACCAGUAGAAUCUCAUUGUGUCAAGAAGGAGAGAAUCUCUGAUGAGACUGACCUUGCACUUUGUAUUGAUGAAACAAAGCAAAUUGUUGUUACCAACUUGGACCAAUCAAAUGUGACGUCUAACACCAAAAAAGUUGUCAACGCGUGCUACACACGCUGUGAGGAAAUAGGUCUGGACCUUGAUGUUGCAUUCAAACCCUCUAAAAAGAAACUGGAAUUUCAGUUACUGACAAACGGUGUAGUAUUUGAGGUGUAUAAAUAUGCUAAAAUAAAACCCUAUCCCCUAAAAGCAGAAGGAUGGGGGCAUAUUCUCUAUGCUAUUCUAGAAUACAAUUUUGACCUUAGUUUGCAAAAUCAGAGACGAAGUCAAUUUCAAUUUUGGAUUUAUCGUAAAGUGAAAAGAAUGGUUAAAAAACACAGACUUCAACUCACAAGAAGGGACAAACUCUCAAAAGAAUUGUUUGUAAUACCAAAUGUGAUUCAAACCAAAGCAAAAAAAACAGUGCUUUAAGAUUAUUUCCCCGGAAAAAUGUAUGGAACAAGAUGAACAAAAACGAGUUUAUCUUCAUCAUGUUAGACACUAUCGCCAUGGAGACGAUUUGAAACAAUCUCCACUGAUGAAGCAGCAAUGCUUGGCCAGGAUAAAAUGGACCAGACCUUCACUCUGAGAUCAAAGUGGUUUAUUUCUGUGAAGACCAAGAUACCGUCAGAACAUCUGAAGAGCACUUGAUCAUGGCAUGGAUCAACACCCAGUAAUAUUCGGGAAAAAAAUGUAUUCAGCCUCCCACAAGUCACCACUACCGACUGCAGAAAGGAGUUCUUUUGAAAGUCAAAUCAACCCAACUUCACAGAUGUUUUUUAAAAUAUUUUUAUUUCACCUUUAUUUAACCAGGUAGGCAAGUUGAACAAGUUACGUUAUGUAACAAGUUAUGUAACCAGAAGGUCACUACAGCUUCACUUGAGCCAAAGACUGAAAGGAGUAACAGAAAAGAGGAGAUUUAAUGAGGAAAAAUAAAUAAGUUGAUAUGUUUUAUAGCCACGAAGACCAAUGACAUGUAAUGCUAUGAAGUCAGACAAGUAGAACCUCAUUGUGACGAGACAGAGAGCAUCUCUGAUGUUUCAUCCCAGUAGAACCUCAUUGUGACGAGACAGAGAGCAUCUCUGUUGUUUCAUCCCAGUAGAACCUCAUUGUGACGAGACAGAGAGCAUCUCUGUUGUUUCAUCCCAGUAGAACCUCAUUGUGAUGAGUCACAGAGCAUCUCUGGUGUCAGAGGAAGGUCUUAAAAAUUGUCAGACUGUUCUGUCUGCUACCGCACAGCAAGCGGUACCGGAGCGCCAAGUCUGGGACCAAAAGGCUCCUUAACAGCUUCUACCCCCAAGUGAUAAGACUGUUAAACAGUUAAUCAAAUGGCUACCCGGACUAUUUGCAUUGCCCCCCUUUUUUAUGCUGUUGCUACUCGCUGUUUAUAAUCUAUGCGUAGUCAGUUUACCCCUACCUACAUGUACAUAUUACCUCAAUUUACACGACUAACCUGUACACCCGCACAUUGAUUCUGCACCGGUACCCCUUGUAUAUAGUCUCCUUAAUGGUAUUUUAUUGUAUUACUUUUUUAUCUUGCUUUAGUUAUGUUUUUUAAAUAGCAAAUAUUUUCUUAAUUAAUAAAAAAAAUCUGCAUUGUUAGUUAAGAGCUUGUCAGAAAGCAUUUCGCAGUAAGGUCUACACCUGUUGUAUUCGGCGCGUGUGACAAAUAAAAUUGUAUUUGAUUUAACUUAAUCUCCUCUCGGCCAGGAAAUAGAAUGGAGAAAAAUAUUACCGUGACCAGGAAAAGGAGUCUGAUGCAGAUAGAUUAAAGUCAUUGUAAUAUGUUAGGUUGAUUCUUGCCAAACUUUUUAAAUAUUUUGUAGUCGAGACUGGUUCUGAUAAGAAAUUCAAACAAAUCCCAGAAUUACAGAUCAGAUAUCCUAGGGUUUGUGGGUAUUAGAAAAUAUGCAAAACGUCAAGUGCUGUCAGUGUUGCAUUUGUAACCUUUGACAUGUUCAAGAAAACUCGCUCUUUGGAAUGCCUCUGGACAAUGGACAGUGAAAAAGACUUGUGUUGAAAUCAGGGCAGAGAGAACAGGGUUGUAGUCAAAAAGAAGAAGGGCUGUUGAGCAGGUGUGGUAGAGAGAAACACUAAAGCAGUGGAGCUAAAGUCUGGACAGGAUGUAGUCUAACGGUGGAAAAAAUUACACAAACUGGUUGAUGCACACAUUACAAUGACAACAGUUGCAACAAGCUUACUCUGAAUUGACCCAAAGACCAUACUUAGAAUGGUUCCUAAUGGAAGACUAAUUUCCUGUCUCCCUGAAGUCAAUAGACUCACAUUCUAUACCUCACAGAGUCAACAAGCCUACCAGAGAUUCAACUCCAUUGUAUUCAUUAGGAAUACUGUAGCAAAACGUGCAAAUGGUGUACCAAUUAACCUAGUCUUUUUAGUAUUCAGUGAAAUAAUGGGAAAUGUAUGUAUGUAUAUAUGUAUAUGUGUUUGACUUAUUUGGAUUAAGGGUUUAGACUUUGAUUUGUGGAUUGUGUAGAUUCCCUUGGCCUCCUGUUAACACUUGAUGCCUGGUCUUGCUGUAAAGAGACUGAAUACAGCAUGAUUAUUGCUACACUUCAUUUGUUUUCAGCGUUGAACGACGUUUCAAUUGACAAGCCAAACUCCACUACCUUUACAAGCCUCAAUAGAAGAACCUCUGAUCUUCUUUGUUAGAUAUAAGAAGGUAAACAAGGAUAUAUAUAUUUUUUUAAAUAAGACUUGCGUUGGUGAAAGAACCUACUAUGAUGGAGCAUGUUUUUCUUUUAGAAAAUAUAUUUGGAACUUUUCCGGGGUUUUUUCUAGCAAGAUUAAGAGACCGUACAUCAAGACUUGCUUUACUGAAACCAGUACUUCCUGUUUUGAACAUGAAGUUAUUCUACCAUCAACUGUGAAGUGGAAGUGUUUUGUUUGUUUUGAAGAGGACACUUUCACUAACGUUCUUAGCUGUUUCUCGGGACACCUGUGAGCCUCGGAUAAAAAGGUGAUGUGUGUUUGCAGUCUUAUCCCUUUUCUACUGUUUCAACUCUUCACAAAUGAAAACAUCUAAUCGCCAAAGGUUGACGCCAAUAAAGUCUCUCUGCUGGUGACGACGAGGUGGCCUCUACUAGUGAAGACGAGGUGGCCUCUCUACUAGUGAUGACGAGGUGGACUCUCUACUAGUGAUGACGAGGUGGACUCUCUACUAGUGAUGACGAGGUGGACUCUCUACUGGUGAAGACGAGGUGGACUCUCUACUGGUGAGUUCCUGACAUUUUGUGGGUGGAGGUUUUUCAUGUUCACUGUAGACUUCUAUCAACAUGGACCGACUAGGGAGAAUAACUGCAUCUACACAACUGUCUUCCUUAACUAGCUGCUUUUAGCAACGCUAGAAUUUUAUGUGCACGCUAGCAUUGCUGGGAAUUAUUUAGCAAAAAACCUGAAUAGUCCGCCGGAAUUCCACAAGUUAAAUAAAAUUAAGUUUCAAUUUAUUCUGUCGAUUGUCUGUAGUCUUGGUCCUUAUGCAAGGGGGGAUGGGGGGGGGGGGAAUUUAACGUAGAAUUAAACCGAAUUUUCAAACGUGGGUUUGAAUUUUAUUUAGCUUCCGGCGGACUAUUACGUUUUUUUUGCAAACUAAUUCCUAAAUACUUACUAAAAUCAGCUACUGUAAAACAUUUUCAUGAGGCACUUAUUUUUUGUCCUUCUCUAAAUGUAACCUUUAUUUUACCAGGGCGGGUCAAUUAAGAACAAAUGAUUGUGUACAAUGACGGACUGGUAAGAGGUAGAAGGCCUCCAGUGGGACAGGAAGUGGUUGAUUUUAAAUCAGUUUUCCUUUUGAUAUUGUUUAUUUUAACACAGAUUUAGCAGAUUUUCAGGCUAACUACCAAGCCAGACACAGAACUAUUAAUAGUAAUAAUAAUACAAAUGUAUUUAUAAAUACAUUUCCCAUGCUCAAUAAGCAUGUUAUUUGUCUUUCCAUUUGUGUCUCAACUUAAGAUACCAUAUAGUUGGGCUGAAUGGUUCUGUCUUCAUCCAGGUGUCUAACAGUACCUGAAAGGAAUCACAAUCCUCAAACACAUCAAAACACUUCUCGGGCAGACUUGAAAAUCCAGGCUAGCAUUCACUUGUCAUAAAGAAGACCUUGUUGUCAUAGAGAUGGCCUUGUUGUCAUAGAGAUGGCCUUGUUGUCAUAGAGAUGGCCUUGUUGUCAUAGAGAUGGCCUUGUUGUCAGGAUUUCCAUACAAGGUUUUUUCACUCAUUGUGAAUUUGUACCAAAACAAUUAAUUCCUUUAUAUCCUUCAGGUGACAAAUUAAAUCAUUAUUUUAAUCACAAGUGUCUUUUUUGUUGUUUUGUUACCUCCAGAAACUUGAUUGCCACUGUGGAUGUAUAAUUUGUCUCCUCAUUUUAUUGACAGAUCCUCUAUUUCCAUACAAGAUGGACAUGAAGUCUGUCUCCAUCUUCAACCUGUGGAUUUGCUCUGAGGAUGUUGGACACCACCGUUGCACCUUCAGCCACACUAAUUUCCUGUCAGACUGGUUGUCUUUGAACUCCAUGCCAUGGACUGACUAAUCUGAACAUUUACUACAACAGGAAUACAAAUGUUCAUCAGACUCACCACACACGGUGGACAGACUACUCUCUAACUGGUUGUGAGGUUACAGGAAAUAGACUGAUCUGUUAUGAGGGACUGCCAGGUUGUGUAACAGAAUAAUACAGCCAGCUCAUCUUCAUUUCUCUUCUGUUAGGCCUUCUGACAUGUUGGUCUCUGUUGUUGGAACUGUCAGUCUUUGUUCUGGGCUUCAGUUUUCAUCAUGGUGGAUGCAGAAUUGUAAUCCUGAUUAGAUUAUGGUUAUAAAGACUUCAGGAUGUAGCCAGUACAUUGAAGUCCACUCUCUAGAUAAUAUAAAAGUCCUGGGAGAGGGACCGUGCUUCCAGGAGAAGGAUAACAGGACCUUGUCCAGAGACAACCCCCAGCCCUUAACCUCCAAGGGACUUGUGUACAGGGAGUUUAAUACAGAGAAUGUAAUACAAUAUUUGAUACGAUCAGGGAAUUUGACAUACAGUAUGGAUUACGUUUUGAAAAUUCAAUGAUCAUUACAUUUAUUUUUUUGUCAUUUUUUCCCCCCACAUUUUAUUGCACUGUAAGUGUUUGGCAGUUCUCAUGGAAACGUGGAAUUUUUUAACGUGUCUUAAGAGUGGAAACCCUAGAAAUGUACCCUCUGAUAGGCUAGAUCGAAUAAUUUCAGAUCUGUGAACAUUUCGUCUUUCAGAGGGCAUGUUUUACCUGAUUAUACCACAGUCUUUGAGUUUUACAUGAAUUCUAGUCUUAUCAACAAAAAAACACCACAUCCGGAAUGGGCGCCAGAUUUGUUUUGGGAAAAACGUUUUAAUUUUGUAAAAUAAAAAAUCCUGUAAUUCUACACAUUUUGCCAUGUUUUUAUGACGUGUUCAAAGUCUGAUUUGUAUUGUAUUCUUUGGGUUGGGGGGCCCCCUGGAGGUCAGGCAAGCGCCCUGCAUGUCCGGUCAGUAAUCCUGCUCUACUCCUGUGUCGGGUUCACAAACUUUUUCUGCAAACAAUUCCAAAUUGACACUAGAAAAUGGAGGGGACCCUACUUGGAGAAAUUAUAAUCCCAAAUUAACACUUCAGAUUCACAGCUUUAGGUACCUCAGGCUGUCCCAACAACAAUAAUGAUAUGAAAAAGCGCAUUCCAAUAGUGUAAAAAAGCAUUAAGGUCCCGAUUCAAUCAGAUCCGCACGUCGUCGGAGCUGUCAAAUCCACAAGUGCUGCACGGAGUUGCAUUAGCGUAUAUGCACCUAAAUAUUUUUGCUCUGCGACCUGGAAUUUUAAUUUUACGAGAAGAAGAAAAAAAAAUCGCCCAGAUAAUUGUUGCAAUGGUUCCUUCACUACGGAAGCCCCUAAAUGUGGGGGACACACUGAGCACAGGUUCAUGACCGUCAUACUUGCACCAUUACUACAAAGAAAACGGCUUGUUAUCAACAACAACCACAAAAUUGUGCUCCUACUUUUUCCCUUGUAAAAAAAAAAGGUAGAGGACUGCCUUGUUUACGUGUUCAAACACUGGAAUGUGAGAUGUAAUCCUAUACCCUGAUUAAAAUGAUAGAACACCUAAUUCUUUAAUGGUU